GUGUCAGCCGCCGCGGUAACACGGGGGGAGCAAGCGUUGUUCGGAUUCAUUGGGCGUAAAGAGCUCGUAGGUGGCUCUGUAAGUCGGAGGUGAAAGACCACGGCUCAACCGUGGAAACGCCUUCGAAACUGUGGAGCUUGAGGCUGGGAGAGGAGAUCGGAAUUCCUGGUGUAGCGGUGAAAUGCGUAGAUAUCAGGAGGAACACCGGUGGCGAAGGCGGAUCUCUGGACCAGUUCUGACACUGAGGAGCGAAAGCUAGGGGAGCAAACAGGAUUAGAAACCCGCGUAGUCC
rnacentral:rRNA from 1 species